rnacentral:rRNA from 1 species
UACGAAGGGGCUAGCGUUGUUCGGAUUUACUGGGCGUAAAGCGCACGUAGGCGGAUCGUUAAGUCGGGGGUGAAAUCCUGGAGCUCAACUCCAGAACUGCCUUCGAUACUGGCGAUCUUGAGUCCGGAAGAGGUGAGUGGAACUCCUAGUGUAGAGGUGGAAUUCGUAGAUAUUCGCAAGAACACCAGUGGCGAAGGCGGCUCACUGGCCCGAUACCUGACGCUGAGGCACGAAAGCGUGGGGAGCAAACAGG